AACGAACGCUGGCGGCAGGCUUAACACAUGCAAGUCGAGCGCCCCGCAAGGGGAGCGGCAGACGGGUGAGUAACGCGUGGGAACGUACCCUUUGCUACGGAAUAGCUCCGGGAAACUGGAAUUAAUACCGUAUGUGCCCUACGGGGGAAAGAUUUAUCGGCAAAGGAUCGGCCCGCGUUGGAUUAGCUAGUUGGUGGGGUAAUGGCCUACCAAGACGACGAUCCAUAGCUGGUCUGAGAGGAUGAUCAGCCACAUUGGGACUGAGACACGGCCCAGACUCCUACGGGAGGCAGCAGUGGGGAAUAUUGGACAAUGGGCGGAAGCCUGAUCCAGCAACGCCGCGUGAGGGAUGACGGCCUUCGGGUUGUAAACCUCUUUCGGUAGGGACGAAGCGUGAGUGACGGUACCUACUAAAGAAGCACCGGCCAACUACGUGCCAGCCGCCGCCGUAAUAC
rnacentral:rRNA from 1 species